UCCCGGUCCCCUCGCAACGAUAGACGGUAAACUCCGCCAGGCCCGGAAGGGAGCAACGGUAGCUGUCAACUCGUGUGCCGGGGUGUGGCUGGUUGGA
rnacentral:SRP_RNA from 1 species